CCCCCUACUUCUCUCUGUUGCCUCUCAAAUCUCAACGCCAUCUCUAUCGCCGUUACAACUUGUGGUCGCCGUCGUCGUCCUAUUCUUCCAUUUAUUCAGUUGCGUAGAACUCCACAACUUGUUAGGAAUUGCCUAUCAGCUUGCUUCUCCUUUGCAUCAUCAAGUGAAAUCUGAUUGCAUCUAUCUUUCGAAGUGUGUUCAAUUAGGUUUGAUCAAUAUCAUAAUUUUAACACUGUAAGGACUCGGUGCCGAAAUCAUCGGUCUACACUCUACAGCAUUGUUUUCAUCAUCGAAAAUACUGAUUUUCUCGAAGCCAAAGUUCAUCUCAAACUGGAGGUCGUGUCGUUGGAGGUAGUAUUGAUUGAGCUUUCUUCCUGUCUUUCUUCUGCAGCUGCUGCUGGACUUCUGUUGUCCAUUUUGGAUACUCUCUGUAUGUUGUAUGCUUCCUUCCAAUUUUUGUGUUUCCUUGCUAUUUUUUUCCCUGCUGUUGCAUGUGUGCCUCAAUUUUGGCAUCUUGGCUUUUGUGAGCUUAGAAACCAUUAAUUGCUUUGUCAUGUCUAUAGUUAUUAUGCUUCCUUCUGAAUUUUGUCAUACUGUUGUUUGUAUUCUCUCAUUGUUCUUCAUUUUUCU